GACGAACCGUGCGAACGUUGUUCGGAAUCACUGGGCUUAAAGGGCUCGUAGGCGGUCCGUCACGUCGGGAGUGAAAACUUGGGGCUUAACCCCAAGCCUGCUUCCGAUACGGGCGGACUAGAGGUAGGCAGGGGAGAACGGAAUUCCUGGUGUAGCGGUGAAAUGCGCAGAUAUCAGGAGGAACACCGGUGGCGAAGGCGGGUCUCUGGGCCGAUACUGACGCUGAGGAGCGAAAGCGUGGGGAGCGAACAGG
rnacentral:rRNA from 1 species